UCUACCGUUGUAUAACUCUGGAAGAUGCAGUAUUUGAAUUGUGAAUGCUAUGAACAUGUGAUUCAUUUGUGUGCAUCUUCCAGAGUUAUACAACGGUAGAACAUAGUUUUAGGCUAAACAAAAUCUUCUGUUUGUUCUUCAACAUAAAUUUCAAGAACUUACCAAAUGCUAAACUAACUUUCAGAUUCUUAGGAAGGUCCACAUAUGUAGGGUCUGUAAACUCGAAAAAAAUUCUAGCAACAAAGAAAAUGCUACUUCAGCAAUUCACAAUCUUGUUGACGCCGUUUUGCCAAACCCAAAUGNNNNUUCAACGAUUUGCACUCAAUGCCAUAAGCAUGUUGUUUCCACCAGGAAGGUAUGCUACAUUGGGUGACUUUGCCAGAGUAGCGGCAAUUUCUCUUGAUGCCUCAAUUCUCCUCAGCUCAAUUAAGCCCAUACCAGCCUUUGAAGUUGCAUCAGA
rnacentral:misc_RNA from 1 species